UACGUAGGGACCAAGCGUUGUUCGGAUUUACUGGGCGUAAAGGGCGCGUAGGCGGCGCGGGAAGUCACUUGUGAAAUCUCUGAGCUUAACUCAGAACGGCCAAGUGAUACUGCAGUGCUAGAGUGUGGAAGGGGCAAUCGGAAUUCUUGGUGUAGCGGUGAAAUGCGUAGAUAUCAAGAGGAACACCUGAGGUGAAGACGGGUUGCUGGGCCAACACUGACGCUGAGGCGCGAAAGCCAGGGGAGCAAACGGG
rnacentral:rRNA from 1 species